AUUGAACGCUGGCGGCGUGCUUUACACAUGCAAGUCGAACGGUAUCAGGGAGCUUGCUCCGCUGACGAGUGGCGAACGGGUGAGUAAUGCGUCGGAACGUGCCGAGUAGUGGGGGAUAACGCAUCGAAAGGUGUGCUAAUACCGCAUACGAACUGAGGUUGAAAGUGGGGGACCUUCGGGCCUCACGCUAUUCGAGCGGCCGACGUCUGAUUAGCUAGUUGGUGAGGUAAAGGCUCACCAAGGCGACGAUCAGUAGCGGGUCUGAGAGGAUGAUCCGCCACACUGGGACUGAGACACGGCCCAGACUCCUACGGGAGGCAGCAGUGGGGAAUUUUGGACAAUGGGCGCAAGCCUGAUCCAGCCAUGCCGCGUGUCUGAAGAAGGCCUCCGGGUUGUAAAGGACUUUUGUCCGGGAGCAAAUGCUGGUGGCUAACAUCCACCGGAGCUGAGAGUACCGGAAGAAUAAGCACCGGCUAACUACGUGCCAGCCGCCGCAGUAAAAC
rnacentral:rRNA from 1 species